rnacentral:rRNA from 1 species
AUGCACCCAGGGCGAUAUGGCUUGGAAAUACGUGGGAUCUGUGCGUUGUGCGGAAUGAUUGUGUUUAGAGGGUGCGUAGGCGGCCGUAUAAGUCAGUGUUGAAAUCUGACGGCUUAACCUGGAAAUGGCCAUUGAUACUGUAGGGCUUGAAGUAUUGGGAAGUAGCAAGAAUAUGUAGGGUAGCGGUGUAAUGCUUAGAUAUUACAUGGAAUACCGAUUGCGAAGGCAGGUUACUACCAAUGGAUUGACGCUGAUGGACGAAAGCGUGGGUAGCGAACAGGAUUAGAUUCCCUAGUAGUC